GUUGAAACACCGGAUCUCGUCCGAUUAUCGAAGUUAAGCAACAUCAAGCCUAAUCAGUACCUAAAUGGGUGACCACUUGUGAAUACCAGGUGCAGUAAG